rnacentral:lncRNA from 1 species
AGAAAGUACCUAAUUUAUCCUUGGUGUUGCCAAAAAGCCACGACUGUUGUUUUCUCUGAGCAGAACCCCAUUUGCUUUUUUCUGUCCAAUUUAUUUUCUAGCUCUUCUUAUCCUUUGUUGUUUCCUUUGUGUUAAUUGCAUGAUAUAUUCUCCACUUUAAGGAAGAGAACAUGUGCUCUUGUUCUUUGUGCAUUUCCCUUUUGAGGUUA